rnacentral:rRNA from 1 species
GCGUCGGCUAACUACGUGCCAGCAGCCGCGGUAAGACCGUAGGACGCAAGCGUUAUCCGGAUUUACUGGGCGUAAAGCGCCCUGUAGGCGGUCAAGUAAGUCGGAUGUGAAAGCCCCGUGCUCAACGCGGGGAAGCCAUUCGGAUACUGCGUGACUAGAGAACGGCAGAGGGAAACGGAAUUUCUGGUGUAGCGGUAAAAUGCGCAGAGAUCAGAAAGAACACCGAUGGCGAAGGCAGUUUCCUAGGCCGCAUCUGACGCUGAGAGGCGAAAGCUAGGGGAGCAAACAGGAUUAGAGACCCUGGUAGUCCUAGCUGUAAACGAUGGAUGCUAGGUGUGGGCCGGAAAGGUCCGUGCCGUAGUUAACGCGAUAAGCAUCCCGCCUGGGGAGUACGGCCGCAAGGCUAAAACUCAAACGAAUUGACGGGGACCCGCACAAGCAGCGGAGCGUGUGGUUUAAUUCGAUGCUACACGCAGAACCUUACCUGGGCUUGACAUGUAGGUGGUAGUGAAGUGAAAGCGGAGCGACCCUUCGGGGAGCCUACACAGGUGCUGCAUGGCUGUCGUCAGCUCGUGCCGUGAGGUGUCGGGUUAAGUCCCGUAACGAGCGCAACCCUCGUCCUUAGUUACAAGUGUCUAAGGAGACUGCCGGUGACAAACCGGAGGAAGGUGGGGAUGACGUCAAGUCAGCAUGGCCCUUAUGUCCAGGGCGACACACACGCUACAAUGGUCGGUACAAUGGGCAGCGCAGCCGCGAGGUGAAGCGAAUCCCAACAAAGCCGAUCCCAGUUCGGAUUGCAGGCUGC